rnacentral:rRNA from 2 species
GUUUUGAUCAUGGCUCAGGAUGAACGCCGGCGGUGUGCCUAAUACAUGCAAGUCGAACGCGUUGGCCCAAUUGAUUGAUGGUGCUUGCACCUGAUUGAUUUUGGUCGCCAACGAGUGGCGGACGGGUGAGUAACACGUAGGUAACCUGCCCAGAAGCGGGGGACAACAUUUGGAAACAGAUGCUAAUACCGCAUAACAACGUUGUUCGCAUGAACAACGCUUAAAAGAUGGCUUCUCGCUAUCACUUCUGGAUGGACCUGCGGUGCAUUAGCUUGUUGGUGGGGUAAUGGCCUACCAAGGCGAUGAUGCAUAGCCGAGUUGAGAGACUGAUCGGCCACAAUGGGACUGAGACACGGCCCAUACUCCUACGGGAGGCAGCAGUAGGGAAUCUUCCACAAUGGGCGCAAGCCUGAUGGAGCAACACCGCGUGAGUGAAGAAGGGUUUCGGCUCGUAAAGCUCUGUUGUUAAAGAAGAACACGUAUGAGAGUAACUGUUCAUACGUUGACGGUAUUUAACCAGAAAGUCACGGCUAACUACGUGCCAGCAGCCGCGGUAAUACGUAGGUGGCAAGCGUUAUCCGGAUUUAUUGGGCGUAAAGAGAGUGCAGGCGGUUUUCUAAGUCUGAUGUGAAAGCCUUCGGCUUAACCGGAGAAGUGCAUCGGAAACUGGAUAACUUGAGUGCAGAAGAGGGUAGUGGAACUCCAUGUGUAGCGGUGGAAUGCGUAGAUAUAUGGAAGAACACCAGUGGCGAAGGCGGCUACCUGGUCUGCAACUGACGCUGAGACUCGAAAGCAUGGGUAGCGAACAGGAUUAGAUACCCUGGUAGUCCAUGCCGUAAACGAUGAGUGCUAGGUGUUGGAGGGUUUCCGCCCUUCAGUGCCGGAGCUAACGCAUUAAGCACUCCGCCUGGGGAGUACGACCGCAAGGUUGAAACUCAAAGGAAUUGACGGGGGCCCGCACAAGCGGUGGAGCAUGUGGUUUAAUUCGAAGCUACGCGAAGAACCUUACCAGGUCUUGACAUCUUGCGCCAACCCUAGAGAUAGGGCGUUUCCUUCGGGAACGCAAUGACAGGUGGUGCAUGGUCGUCGU